rnacentral:pre_miRNA from 1 species
CUAGUACUCCCUCCGUUCGGAAUUACUUGUCAUCAAAAUGGAUGUAUCUAGAACUAAAAUACAUCUAGAUACAUCCAUUUCAAUGACAAGUAUUUCCGAACAGAGGGAGUACAUU